AAUCGAGGAUCGAAGGCUAAAAUCAUCAUAUCCUGUGAUAACGCCUUCGCGGCCAACAUCGACGCUGC
rnacentral:sRNA from 1 species